CUCAACUUUGUUAUACCCAGUUAACUACUUGGAAUUGAGAUGGAAACAUUACAACAACGGCACUGUUACGGCGGAGCUAGUGAACCCAGGGACAGGGUUUCCCCUGUCUGGAUUCCUCCCAGGAGUGGUGUGUGCCAGAGCGGAGUCCAAAGAGUUAGCAGAUCCAAGCAGGGUCCAUAACUGAGAGGCAAAACCUACAGGUCACCUGUUGGAGGCAGGGAUUGGAGCAGAGAAGACAGAACUGCUGUAACAGCAAGUGUGACAGCGCUUGUGUUCUUGUAAGAGACUUGAUUGCAGAAUGGGAGGCAGCUGAUGAGACUCAACUCAGGAUUCUGCUUGAGUAAUCACACACUCACACACGGGGGGGUGGAGGCCAUCACGUGUACACCCUUCAAGUCUUCCCCAUAGACCCCCAUAUUACAAUGGCCACCUUUACAGCAUAAAUAAACAUGUUUUACAGCCUGGUACUAAAAAAACGGGUCCCCGUUCAGGACAUCUGUGUAUAUUAAGGUUUAAAGUUAUGCAGCAACCACGCAACGAUUAGACGUGCAUUAGUCAGUCAGACGCUGCCAACAUGGCAUGUGUGUGGGUGUGUGUGGGUGAAAAGUGACCACAUGAGGAUUGAGUCCAGAUGCUGUUAUUUCUGUGUUUUCAUUUUUCUAGACAGCAGACAUUAUACUGCCAAACUGAUGAACUGGGAUAUCAAUCAUCAAGGGCAACAUGACCAGGAGGACAUAUGAAAUAUUGAAAACUGCAAGCACGCACGCACUUUUAAAGGUACUGAUUGGGGAAUCACGGGCAGCUGCUGCCAAUCACUAGUUGCAGCUGUGAGGCAGGAGCGGGGAAGGACCUGGAGAACUACAGGAGAAGGAGAAGCACACAAAACAAAACACAGGACACACGGCUCUAAGGCCGUAACAUACAUGCAUUUAGAUUUCAGGUAUCUCAUGUUUUUUGAGAUUUGUAAUCCACAUCAUUGAAUUUGUUGUGUUUUAUCCAAUACAGUUUUCACAGUAUUUGGCUCACUAAAAAGCUGUGCACCUACACGCAUAGUGAGGGCAGAAGAUAGAGGGAGGAACAGUUUGGGGAAAAUUACAUGGAAAAUAAAAUCAAUUACUUAUUACUUGUUAAUCAUUAAAAAUUAAUUACAUUACAAAUUAAUAAAACAGCUAGUUAGUCACAUCACUUGUUAAUUACCUUCUGUUAUUCAGCACAGCUUCACUCCAAAGCGUCCACGUCCACGCAUCCCAGUAUUUAACGUGUGAAGAAAUAUAAGACGACACAGUAUAGUUUACCAAGCAGCCAACCUAAUAUUACAGUGUGGAGGCAUUUUACAAAACUGACCAUCAACAGCUAGCUUAGCUUUUUGUGUUUUAAUUUUUAUUGUAUACUUUUCUCACAGUCUCUUUUGUUCCUCGUCUAAGUAAUUUGUAACUAUGCUAACAAAAAUGUACAAAAGCUUACUGAUAUUAAAGUCAUUAUUUCAUCUCCAGCUUGUUUCAUGGAGACCACUUAGCUCAUGUAGCAAUCAAUUCAGGUGCACCACUGCCUGUCACUUAGAAGCUAGUCCUACUCUCCCACACACACACAAACAGAAGACAUACCUGUGGACAAGUGGGACUGCCUUUGUGUUACAUUUGCAUGUUAACAUCUCCACCUUUUUAUCUGUAAUUAGCCGUGCAGUCCCAGUGGCAGAGCUAAUCCUCCAGGAGAGAGAAUGGAGCUAUCAGGUAGUCAAGUUCUGCACUUCAAAAAAAUCUUCAUGUAAAACAAGUAAUUUAAUCUUUUACCAAAUUACUUCAGGUAGAAAUGUGAAGAUAAGUGUGAGGAUUUAAAGUGCCUGCCAGUGUCACGAAGAUAAAUUAGAUAAUUUAAACUAAUUUAAAAGGUGCAUGUGUGGAUCAUUUUUAACCACAAGUAGGCUAUGUAAUUGUACUUGGUAUAAUUAAGUUCAGAAAAUGAAAUCAUGACAGAGAUGACUGGUCACCUCUGUCUCAUAAAAGAGGUGUUGAUAACUUAUUUUUCUCCAAACUAGAGACCAUAUAUGUCUCAUAAACACUGCCCUUCCUUUCCAUCCUUCCUCCCAGGAGAGAAACGUGUCAAAGUCCUUUCACUCUUUGCACUAUUGAUUUUAAAAUGCUUCACAGAGCACCUUUAAUUUGAACCAGCAAUGAUUGUUUACUUUGUAUCUCUAUUGGACUUUGUAGGUUGCCAGAUUAGCUAACAACUUUAGUCCUCAUAUGUCUUUCCAGCACUUUGGUGCUAGAAAUUGAAAAAAAUGUACAUUUGGUGUCAACGAUCAUGGUCUCUUGGCCUCGAACUAUAAACUUCUGGCCUGAUUUCAAUCAAAUCUGCACAGAGCAGAUGGAAUAAAAGUCCCUUGCUUUGAUAAGUUUAGACCAUAUGGCCUGGAAAACAUCUGCAGGUAGAUGAACAGGUUGUGUCAUAGGUAAUAUUAUUGUAAUCACAAACUUAAUAAUUAACUAUGGACUCUUGUUCUAUCAGAUUUUUGCUCCUUUGUAUUUAUUGUGAUGUAUUCCAGUGAUGGAGAGUAGUUUUGUCCUCAACCACAGGUGUAGCUUGUACUUCCUUUAGUUAAAGUCAACCAAAAUCUUAAUCAUCACCCUCCUGAUUGGUUCAGUACUGAUGUAAGAAGAAUAUAUGCAGACUGAAAUCACCUGUGUGUGUGUGUGUAUUGUUUUCCAUGUGUAGUGUUAUUUAACAUUUGCCUGCUAAAAGACUAGUGAGGAUCUCGAUGAGAUCAAAAUGUUCUCCAGACACAGUGUGCAUAUCCUGUUUUCCAUUUAAUGGCUGUAAUGACAUGUUUGAAAUUGACCUUCAUUGUACCACAGGGGUCAACCCUAUUGAAAUAGUGACUCCAGUCGCUACAUUGCAGCCUCUAUAGAGACUACUCGCUAUCAUGUCGAGUACCCACAGUUAAGGUCAUGUUUUUUGUUUCCUUGUCUGUAGCCACUAUCUGUUUUGUGUGGGUUACUCAUCUUGUGUCUCGCUUCAGGUCUUUGUCUGCCUCCCCUCUAUGUGUGAUUACCUGUUCCCACCCUAAUGUGCUCCCAUGUCUCAUUGUCUCCCUGGCACUAGUGUAUAAACCACUCCUCACUGAUGUCUUUGCCAGAUUGACUUGUUACCUGGUGACAGAGUUCAAGCUGUUUCCUAGUGGUUUUUCUACUGAGAGUUUCAACCAAAGCCUUGCCUUUUGACCCUGAUUCCAGUCUAGUAUUUUCAGUACCUUCGCCUGAUUCUUUGUGCACCUUGUCCAAUAAAUCUAUUGUUUGAACUAC